rnacentral:rRNA from 1 species
AUGUGGUUUAAUUCGAAGCAACGCGAAGACCUUACCAGGUCUUGACAUCCCCUGACAACCCGAGAGAUCGGGCGUUCCCCUUCGGGGGACAGGGUGACAGGUGGUGCAUGGUUGUCGUCAGCUCGUGUCGUGAGAUGUUGGGUUAAGUCCCGCAACGAGCGCAACCCUCGACCUUAGUUGCCAGCAUUCAGUUGGGCACUCUAAGGUGACUGCCGGCUAAAAGUCGGAGGAAGGUGGGAUGACGUCAAAUCAUCAUGCCCCUUAUGACCUGGGCUACACACGUGCUACAAUGGGCGGUACAAAGGGCUGCGAACCCGCGAGGGGGAGCGAAUCCCAAAAAGCCGCUCUCAGUUCGGAUUGCAGGCUGCAACUCGCCUGCAUGAAGCCGGAAUCGCUAGUAAUCGCGGAUCAGCAUGCCGCGGUGAAUACGUUCCCGGGCCUU